CUCAAUGGCUCCCCAAGGUCACACCGUGGCAGCCCAUUUUCUGUUUCCCACUCUGUUCUCCUACAUGGUUUGUCCCGGGUACAGGGUGAACCAGGAAGAGGAUGAGUUACCGCCAUUUCCCCAUGGAGUCAAAGGGCUUCUUCCUCCUGGAAAAUCCCCGGACACGGAAGUGACUAAGACCUAGUGGAGCUGCUGAACCUAAAAAGUAAGUUCAAAUUCGGGGCCCCUCCUUCUGAUAGCCAUGUGGCCCAAAGAAGGGAAGCUGUCCGUGCAGCUGGGGGAGCUGAUCUCCAACAUGUUCUCCCCAAGCCCACCUCCUGCCACCCCACCCCAAUGCUGAAGCCCAGACAAGCAGCCAGGAACUGGCGUCACCAUCCCCAGUCCCGCAGACGCUCAUCCCACCGCCACCACCCGUGAGCAACCAUUCCGGGGCCUGACAUUCUGUCGGCUUCACACCACCUCCCGGAGCCCCAGCCAGAAGCACUUCCUGGAUAAAAUAUUAAACAUGCAAAUCUGAGACAGAGCCUUAACGAGCGACAGACUGCACGACCACAGCCUGGCAAACGAG
rnacentral:lncRNA from 1 species